CCAUUUUCUCUUUUUUUCCAAACCCUGCCACCAUUUUCACACACUCUCUCUCUCUCUCUCUCUCUCUCUCUCUCUCUCUCACACACACACACACACUCCCUCUACGUUAAACGCUAAUCUCCCACUCUAUGCUCUACUCUGCCUCUGUCUCUCCCUCUAUCUUGUGUCGAUUUCAAUUUGGCUCAUUCAAUUAUCUUUGUCCCUAUUCCUUUUUAUGUCCUAACCCCACGACGGUCGACAAAAUAUUACAGUGCCUUCACUUUGGCUCAUUGCAUGCUCCAUUGGCAAAAUUGAAGGAUGAUAUCUUAAAUUUAGAGGACACACUCCGGGAGGAAGUCGCGUCCCGCCACAACACUUUUCUGUAGGUGCUCAGCCGGGUGGUCAGUCCUAAACCUGAUACCCGUCUCCUUUUUGUCAACCUAAGUAUAAUCAGGCACUUGGAGACGCCCGUGCAUCUAAUGAAGUUUUGUUGGGCUUUUGGGUUCGUAUUUUCGUUGUCGAUUAUAGUUGGACUGUAAAUAAUAUUUUUGCCAUACGCCCAAUCCUAGGGCUGGAUCUGUAUAUAUAUAUAUGUAUGUAACCGAUGCUCGGAUGCAUGUUUUGGUAUAGUAGUUAUCUGUGAUGAUGUCUG